GGGUAAGGGUGAAACGGUGGUGUAAGAGACCACCAGCACCCCGGGUGACCGGGGUGGCUCGGUAAACCCCACCCGGAGCAAGGUCAGACAGCAGGCGUUCGAGGGCGGCCCGCCCGAUGCCUGCGGGUAGACCGCACAGAGCCCGUCGGCGACGGCGGGCCGAGAUGGAUGGCCGCCGAACGGGCCGCCGCAAGGAACCCGGGAACAGGAUCCGGCUUACAGGCCAACUCGUCCG
rnacentral:RNase_P_RNA from 1 species